GGAGGGGAUGCAAGCGGGGUGUCGGUUUGGGGCUCGCCAGGAGGGAAUAUGGAGUCAGCUUUGGAGAUGGGGAUGUCUAAGAAGGGGCCCCUUAGGCCCCAUGAAGGCAAAGCCUCACUUUUGGUCACAAUGCUGAUGUGUGCAGGGCAGAGCAGUCCCGGUGCAUGUCGUGUCACUUGUCUGUUGUGCGUUCUGUCUCUAUUCGCAUCUUGUGUGUUCUGCCUCAGCCCUUCAGUGUGCUUGUGGUCAUUCUUCUCACCGAGACUUUUCUCUCCUUGUCGUGCCCCCUUGUUUGCCAUCUGCUGGUGCCUGCAUGGGUUUGGUGCAGAGCUGCUCUGCCCCGCUGCAUGGCCUGGCCUAUAGCCAUAAUAGGACCGGGUCCUGGGUUUUGAGAUCUCUAAUGUAGGGUGUAGUUGGACCUCAAGAUGGUCUUCCUAGAUUGACACAGGAUGGCUGGAGCUGUUAAGUUCUCAUGCAGCCCUUUGACUUUUGUCAUCACUUUCUUUCAGGUGCAGAUGGCAUAAAUCCGUGGCAGGGUGCCCCACACCGGGUGAGGAUGUUCCUGCAGGAAGGAGGUAAAGCUGGAUAGCAGCAGUCAAGGUCAAGUGAGUGAGGCAUAUCCCACAACGAUGGCAUCAGCCUUGGAGCGUGGCUGAAGCGUGCUGCCAGAGGACCCCGGCCUUCUUAGGAGAUGCCGACUAGGAGAUGGCAGGAACUUCCCGGACAGCGAGGCAGCCUUAUUUUGCACCCGAGGUGGAUUCACAUCCCGGAUGUCCGAGAGAUAAGUUGAGGGUUAUGACCCACAGAGGGGAUGAAAGCAGGGUGCUGGGUCGGGCCUCGCCGGGAGGGAUUUUUGAGUCAGCUUUGAAGGCAGGAAUGUCCAAGAAGGGGCCCCGUAGCCCACAUAAAGGCCAAGUCUCACUUUUGAUCACAAUGCCGAGGCGGGCAGAGCAGUCCCGGUGUGUGUUGUGUCACCUGUCUAUUGUAUGUUCUGUGUCUUUUGGGCAUCUUGUGUCUUAGGUCUUUUUCCUUAGCCCUUCGAGGGGCCAGCUUAUCAGAAAUGCCGGGCAUCAUCCUUAGCAUCCUUGGCUGGGUGCUGAUACCGUGAGACCUUUGACCGAUGAGCUCGGAUGUGCAUCGGAAUCGCAUCUCCCUUUAGAAGCAUUGAGCCAGAGGUCUUGUUCUGAGCUGUAUUCACAGCUGUGCACCGCAGUGAUCCAUUACAGAGGAUUAGGACUUGUCAGAAUGUAAGGAGCAGUAGAGGAUUCUGACUGUACGAUUCUCAGGCAUCCAUCUUUGCGGUUCUCAGAAUAAGCCCUUCCGUUAGCAUCUUCUUCGAGCCUCGUCGGUCUCGCUGAGACCAUCUCGCUCCUCAUUCUCUCGGUCCUUGCCGUCAUUCCUCUUGCCAGAGUUUUCUCUCUUCAUCGCAUCUCCUUGUUUGUCAUUUCCUGUGUCACAGGUGCCUGCAUGGGUUUGGCCUGGAGCUGCUCUGCCCUGCCAUGUAGUCUGGUGUAUGGGUGUAGUAGGGAAAGUCCCAAGGCCUUGAAAUUUGUAAUGUAGGGUGUAGUUUGGCCUCUAGAUGGUAUUCCUAGAUUAACACAGGAUGCCUGGCGCUGUUAAGUUAUCAUGCAGGACUCUGACUUUUGUCAUCGCUUUCUUUCAGAUGCAGACGGAUGAAAUCUGUGGCAGGGUGCCCCAGACUGGGUGAGGGGGUUCCCGCAAGAAGGAGCUAAAGCUGGAUAGCAGCAGUCAAGGUUGAUGGAGUGAGGGGGUCCACUUUUUUAAUGCCGAACCUCCUCGCCGACCAGCCGACGGACCCGCUUUGCCGCUGUCGUGAGCGCUCUGGAAGUAUUAUGGGACUCUGCAAUGAAGCCUUUACAUUUUCUGUUCGGAGGUACCUUCUGGUACAUCCAUGGCCGAGAAG